ACUUUUCCAAGAAGCACAGAACAUAAGCAAAAUCGGCCAUUUUCUUGGCCAUUGCACCUCGGCUGAGUUGACCUCUGCGAUUAUUCCUAAUGUGAAUAACUCGUGCGUGUAAUUUUUGUUAGCCGGGAAUGGCGUUCGCGCCGUCCCGAC